AAGGAUCAUUACCUAGAGUUGUAGGCUUUGCCUGCUAUCUCUUACCCAUGUCUUUUGAGUACCUUCGUUUCCUCGGCGGGUCCGCCCGCCGAUUGGACAAUUUAAACCAUUUGCAGUUGCAAUCAGCGUCUGAAAAAACUUAAUAGUUACAACUUUCAACAACGGAUCUCUUGGUUCUGGCAUCGAUGAAGAACGCAGCGAAAUGCGAUAAGUAGUGUGAAUUGCAGAAUUCAGUGAAUCAUCGAAUCUUUGAACGCACAUUGCGCCCCUUGGUAUUCCAUGGGGCAUGCCUGUUCGAGCGUCAUUUGUACCUUCAAGCUUUGCUUGGUGUUGGGUGUUUGUCUCGCCUCUGCGUGUAGACUCGCCUCAAAACAAUUGGCAGCCGGCGUAUUGAUUUCGGAGCGCAGUACAUCUCGCGCUUUGCACUCAGAACGACGACGUCCAAAAGUACAUUUUUACACUCUUGACCUCGGAUCAGGUAGGGAUACCCGCUGAACUUAA
rnacentral:rRNA from 1 species